AGUUCGGACUGCGGCCUGCAACCCGGCCGCACGAAGCUGGAAUCGCUAGUAAUCGCGGAUCAGAAUGCCGCGGUGAAUACGUUCCCGGGUCUUGUACACACCGCCCGUCACACCAUGAGAGUCGGGAACACCCGAAGUCCGUAGUCUAACCGCAAGGAGGGCGCGGCCGAAGGUGGGUCCGGUAAUUGGGGUGAAGUCGUAACAAGGUACC
rnacentral:rRNA from 1 species